rnacentral:rRNA from 1 species
UCCGUAGGUGAACCUGCGGAAGGAUCAUUACAGAGUUCAUGCCCGAAAGGGUAGACCUCCCACCCUUGUGUAUUAUUACUUUGUUGCUUUGGCGAGCUGCUCUUCGGGGCCUUGUAUGCGCGCCAGAGAAUAUCAAAACUCUUUUUAUUAAUGUCGUCUGAGUACUAUAUAAUAGUUAAAACUUUCAACAACGGAUCUCUUGGUUCUGGCAUCGAUGAAGAACGCAGCGAAAUGCGAUAAGUAAUGUGAAUUGCAGAAUUCAGUGAAUCAUCGAAUCUUUGAACGCACAUUGCGCCCCUUGGUAUUCCGGGGGGCAUGCCUGUUCGAGCGUCAUUUCAACCCUCAAGCUCAGCUUGGUAUUGAGUCCAUGUCAGCAAUGGCAGGCUCUAAAAUCAGUGGCGGCGCCGCUGGGUCCUGAACGUAGUAAUAUCUCUCGUUACAGGUUCUCGGUGUGCUUCUGCCAAAACCCAAAUUUUCUAUGGUUGACCUCGGAUCAGGUAGGGAUACCCGCUGAACUUAAGCAUAUCAAUAAGCGGAGGAAA